rnacentral:rRNA from 1 species
UACGUAGGGACCGAGCGUUGUCCGGAAUCAUUGGGCGUAAAGAGCGUGUAGGCGGCCAAUUAAGUCCUGCGUGAAAUCUCGGGGCUCAACCCCGAGCGGUCGUGGGAAACUGGUUGGCUAGAGUGCGGGAGAGGAGAGUGGAAUUCCUGGUGUAGCGGUGAAAUGCGCAGAUAUCAGGAAGAACACCCGUGGCGAAGGCGGCUCUCUGGAACGCAACUGACGCUGAGACGCAAAAGCGUGGGGAGCAAACAGG